GAUGAACGCUGGCGGCGUGCCUAAUACAUGCAAGUCGAGCGAACAGACGAGGAGCUUGCUCCUUUGACGUUAGCGGCGGACGGGUGAGUAACACGUAGGUAACCUACCUAUAAGACUGGGAUAACUUCGGGAAACCGGAGCUAAUACCGGAUAAUAUUUCGAACCGCAUGGUUCGAUAGUGAAAGAUGGCUUUGCUAUCACUUAUAGAUGGACCUGCGCCGUAUUAGCUAGUUGGUAAGGUAACGGCUUACCAAGGCAACGAUACGUAGCCGACCUGAGAGGGUGAUCGGCCACACUGGAACUGAGCCACGGUCCAGACUCCUACGGGAGGCAGCAGUAGGGAAUCUUCCGCAAUGGGCGAAAGCCUGACGGAGCAACACCGCGUGAGUGAUGAAGGUCUUCGGAUCGUAAAACUCUGUUAUUAGGGAAGAACAAACGUGUAAGUAACUGUGCACGUCUUGACGGUACCUAAUCAGAAAGCCACGGCUAACUACGUG
rnacentral:rRNA from 1 species